AGGAACGAAAGUGAAAGGGGGUGCAUGGUGUAUGGACGAAAAGACCAAUCUAUAUCUUCCAUCCUAGGCCGGCCACCUCCAAGCAACAAGUUACACUCACCUCUUUUUCACACAACACAUCCAAACAGACACUCCUGUCCUUCACCAUUCCAAGUCCCCAGCUCUCUCUCCUCCUCCCAUCCCUCAGCUCCUCCCCUCCCCCCUCCUCUCUCCCAGCAAGAAAUCUUCCAAGUUCCGCACCUCAAUUCCGCCCUAGCCCAACCAGCAACCUUUUGCCAACUCUGUUGAUCUCUCUAGCUAGCCACAAGUCCACAGCGGCAGCGGAUAUCACACCACUUGCUCUUCGCCAGUUGCGAGAGGGAUCAAUGGAGCUGUUCCCGUCGCACCCGGACCUGCAGCCCCAGCUCCAAAUUAGUCCACCCCCUGCCACCAAGCCAAUGGACCUAGGGUUUUGGAAGAGGGCUCUCGACACCACCGCCGCCGCGGCCGCCGCGACCUCAGCAUCAGCGGCAGCAACCUUCACACCCCCGUCCAUCGCCAGGACAUACCCCUCGGCGCCGGCAGCUGCCGGCGGCGGCUUCCAUGCAGCGCACUACGGCGUUGCCGAUGGCCACCUGGGCGGGCUGCAGUUCUUGCAGCACACCCAGCCCAUCCUCCACGAGGUGCAGGACCUGGCGGCGAUGAAGCCCAUCCGGGGCAUCCCCGUGUACAACACCUCGCAGUCCCUCCCCUUCCUCCAGAGCCAGCUCCACCACCACAACCACCACCACCAGCAUUGCUACGACGCGAUCGGCGGCGCGGCAGGCGGGCCGAGGUCGCCCGGCAAGGUCGGCGCGCUGCGGCUGGCGGCGCCGCCGGCCAAGCGGAACUCCCGUGCGCCCAGGAUGCGGUGGACCACGUCGCUGCACGCGCGGUUCGUCCACGCCGUCGAACUGCUCGGAGGCCACGAGAGAGCAACGCCCAAGUCGGUUCUUGAGCUAAUGGACGUGAAGGAUCUAACCUUGGCCCAUGUCAAGUCUCACUUGCAGAUGUACCGGACCAUCAAGACCACUGACCACAAACCAGCUGCUGCUUCAUCCUACGGACAAGCCAAGACAAUCAUCGACAUCCCUGACGACAGCUCCUUCGACAUCGCCAACACCAGCGGGUCCGAGUCUUCAGUCCAGCAAUCUAAUCUUGACGGGAACGAGCAUGGAUCCAACAUGUGCGCUCUAUGGAGCAACAACUCGAGCAUCUUAACAGUGAAAAGUUGGAGUUGCGCGCUUUGUUCCCUACGCCUUUUCCCGCCUCUCCUGUGUUGCAUGCAAAUGGACUCCCACUGAAGAAAAGAUGUGUAGAUAGAUAGGCCGGCAUUUGAUUCUUUCAUCAGCCCAUGAUAUACAGAAAAGAAGGUGAUACUUAAUUCAAUUCCUUCCUUUGUCUUUCUUUCCCUUUUGCUCGUGCAGCAGAGGGGCCUGGUCGUUCCACGGGAAAUCAAGAUCAGAUGCCAACCCAGGCGACAUCAAAUCCUUUGAGGACGUGCAAUCGCAGUGCCCCAAUGUCGUCGCUGAUGAUGCCGCCGACCUGAUGUCAGCUCCAUUCCGAUUGUCGGAGCUGGUCGUCGGCGCCAAGAAACCGAAUCUGGACUUCACCCUAGGAAGAAUGUAAGGCCGCCGUCGAUUUGUCGACCGGCCGGCAACGGAAGAUAUGCGUAGCUAGCUAGCUAUAUGUGACCAUCUAGAGAUUAAUCAUCAGAUGCAUACUCGUGUGGCUCCCGCCCCAUAUGCACGUAACGUACGAAGAGGAGGAGGAGGGAACCAGAGGUAGGAGCUGAGAAAGCAAAAGAGGCAGGCAGCUGGGGAAUUAAAGAAUAAGACGAGACCACCGUUGAUCUAGGAACAAAGUGCAAAAGGGGCUGGGGAGGGAGAGACAUGGGUGCGUGCAAGUGUGCGUGCGUGGUAGAGAGAUGGAUAGUGAGAUAGAUAGGCUUUAUCAAAGGCAGGCAGGAGCAUGCAACAAGCUCGUUAGCUUGCCUGCCUGCCUAAAGGGCUUGCUUCUGGUGCACAACACACACACACACGAUCGAGCUUGAAGAGUGUGUGCAUGUGUGCGUGCACUUCAUGGCAUGCUGCCUGAUGAGACAGAGCUGCUAGGUUAAGAAAAGGUCUCAUCUUUUUGUUAUGCCACAAGAAAGGUUUAAAGCUGAGAUGCUUAUGUUACAUA